GUGGUAUCGAAGCCAUUUUACAGAUGGUUAAACACAGAAUAGAAAGGUUAACUGCCUUGCCCACGGCUGCUCACUAAGUUACCUGCUCUGUUGGGAGUGAGAACCCAGACCUGAAUCAUCAGUCCUGUAAGCAGAAAAAUCUCUCCCUUCAUACACCACAGAAACAGAACACUCCCAUACCAAACACAACCCUCAAGAGAUUAACGUCAUCUUUCAGGGAUUCAGCUGAGAAGCAACACUGCCAAGCUCUGGUGCAGUGUUCUGUAGGAGGUUCUACAGCUGGUGGUGGUGAAAGAAAAAGAAAGGGAGAGUCGAAGUCCAACAGCUUAUAUUCCAGUGACAUCAGCUUGGAAGAAUGACCUCAGAUUGGUGAAACAACUGAAGCACAUCUCACCAGCACCACUGUCUAUAUGGGUGUUCCUGACUUUCAGACUUUUGUACAACCUAUUAAGUGACAUAUUUUAUUUCAGAAUCAAACGAGAGCUUUCCAAUAGGCAAAUGUGAGCAAC
ensembl:lncRNA